UACGUAGGGACCAAGCGUUGUCCGGAAUCAUUGGGCGUAAAGAGCGUGUAGGCGGCUUGUUAAGUCUUGCGUGAAAUCUCGGGGCUCAACCCCGAGCGGUCGUGAGAAACUGGCAGGCUAGAGUGCGGGAGAGGAGAGUGGAAUUCCUGGUGUAGCGGUGAAAUGCGCAGAUAUCAGGAAGAACACCCGUGGCGAAGGCGACUCACUGGCCCGUUACUGACGCUGAGGCGCGAAAGCGUGGGGAGCAAACAGG
rnacentral:rRNA from 1 species